UACAGAGGGUGCGAGCGUUAAUCGGAAUUACUGGGCGUAAAGCGUGCGUAGACGGUUAUUUAAGUCGGGUGUGAAAGCCCCGGGCUCAACCUGGGAAUUGCAUUCGAGACUGAAUAGCUAGGGUACGGUAGAGGGAAGUGGAAUUUCCGGUGUAGCGGUGAAAUGCGUAGAGAUCGGAAGGAACACCAGUGGCGAAGGCGGCUAUCUGGCCUGAUACUGACACUGAGGCACGAAAAGCGUGGGGAGCAAACAGG
rnacentral:rRNA from 1 species